rnacentral:rRNA from 1 species
AUUGAACGCUGGCGGCAUGCUUUACACAUGCAAGUCGAACGGUAACAGGGUGCUUGCACCGCUGACGAGUGGCGAACGGGUGAGUAAUGCGUCGGAACGUGCCGAGUAGUGGGGGAUAACGCAGCGAAAGUUGUGCUAAUACCGCAUACGUACUGAGGUAGAAAGUGGGGGACCUUCGGGCCUCACGCUAUUCGAGCGGCCGACGUCUGAUUAGCUAGUAGGUGAGGUAAAGGCUCACCUAGGCGAGGAUCAGUAGCGGGUCUGCGAGGAUGCUCCGCCACACUGGGACUGAGACACGGCCCAGACUCCUACGGGAGGCAGCAGUGGGGAAUUUUGGACAAUGGGCGAAAGCCUGAUCCAGCCAUGCCGCGUGUCUGAAGAAGGCCUUCGGGUUGUAAAGGACUUUUGUCAGGGAGGAAAUCCCUAGUGCUAAUAACACUGGGGGAUGACAGUACCUGAAGAAUAAGCACCGGCUAACUACGUGCCAGCCGCCGCCGUAA